rnacentral:rRNA from 1 species
UACGAAGGGGGCUAGCGUUGCUCGGAAUCACUGGGCGUAAAGCGCACGUAGGCGGCUUCUAAGUCAGGGGUGAAAUCCUGGAGCUCAACUCCAGAACUGCCUUUGAUACUGGGAGAGCUUGAGUCCGGGAGAGGUGAGUGGAACUCCGAGUGUAGAGGUGAAAUUCGUAGAUAUUCGGAAGAACACCAGUGGCGAAGGCGGCUCACUGGCCCGGUACUGACGCUGAUGUAGCGAAAGCGGUGGGGAGCAAACAGGGA